UGUGGGGUAAUUCAACGGCAGAAUGUCUGGCUGUUAACCAGAUCGCUGGCGGUUCGAGUCCGCCCCUCACAG
rnacentral:tRNA from 1 species